GCUUAUGCCCAGGUGGCCCCAUCCUAUCCCGCCCACACCCCUGGGGACAGUCUUUCCAUCAAGCCCUAGCGAUGCUCAGCAGCCAGGUCCCUCUGACAGGGCCCUGGCUGCCGCAUCCAAUGAGGCCAGCCCACAGAACUGGUCAGAGGGACCCAGGUCAGCUCAACUGAGAGGAUACCCACUUCUCUGAGCCUGAGGAAAGCAGAAGAAGGGGGGCCAAUGGACAUGUCUGCAGGUUUCAGGAAGAUUAAAGGACUCAACACAUGGAAAGCAGUCAGCACAACGCCUGCCCAUCUUGUGCACUCAGCAUACAUCAGCUGUUCUUACUUCCAGGAGAGGUGGGGAAGCAGUCACAUCUAGGUCAAGGGAAUGAAGGUAAUGUAAGUUAUUCUAGGC
ensembl:lncRNA